rnacentral:rRNA from 1 species
CCGACGGUGAGGGGCGAAGCCCUGGGGCGCAAACGGGAUUAGAUACCCCGGUAGUCCAGGGUGUAAACGCUGCGGGCUUGGUGUUGGGGGUCCUUAGUGGGCGCCCAGUGCCGGAGAGAAGUUGUUAAGCCUGCUGCUUGGGGAGUAUGUCCGCAAGGAUGAAACUUAAAGGAAUUGGCGGGGGAGCACCGCAACGGGAGGAGCGUGCGGUUCAAUUGGAUUCAACGCCGAAAAACUCACCAGGAGCGACGGAUAUAUGAAGGUCAAGCUGAUGACUUUACCUGAUUUUCCGAGAGGUGGUGCAUGGCCGUCGUCAGUUCGUACCGUAAGGCGUUCUCUUAAGUG